GAGUUUGAUCUUGGCUCAGAACGAACGCUGGCGGCAUGCCUAACACAUGCAAGUCGAACGAGACCUUCGGGUCUAGUGGCGCACGGGUGCGUAACGCGUGGGAAUCUGCCCUUGGGUUCGGAAUAACAGUUAGAAAUGACUGCUAAUACCGGAUGAUGACUUCGGUCCAAAGAUUUAUCGCCCAGGGAUGAGCCCGCGUAGGAUUAGCUUGUUGGUGAGGUAAAAGCUCACCAAGGCGACGAUCCUUAGCUGGUCUGAGAGGAUGAUCAGCCACACUGGGACUGAGACACGGCCCAGACUCCUACGGGAGGCAGCAGUGGGAAUUUUGGACAAGUGGGGCAACCCUGAUCCAGCAAU
rnacentral:rRNA from 1 species